rnacentral:rRNA from 1 species
AGAUUGAACGCUGGCGGCAUGCCUUACACAUGCAAGUCGAACGGUAGAGUAGCAAUACUCGAGAGUGGCGAACGGGUGAGUAAUAUAUCGGAACGUGCCCAGUCGUGGGGGAUAACGCAGCGAAAGCUGCGCUAAUACCGCAUACGAUCUAUGGAUGAAAGCGGGGGACCGUAAGGCCUCGCGCGAUUGGAGCGGCCGAUAUCAGAUUAGGUAGUUGGUGGGUAAAGGCUCACCAAGCCAACGAUCUGUAGCUGGUUUGAGAGAACGACCAGCCACACUGGGACUGAGACACGGCCCAGACUCCUACGGGAGGCAGCAGUGGGAAUUUUGGACAAUGGGCGAAAGCCUGAUCCAGCAAUGCCGCGUGCAGGAAGAAGGCCUCGGUUGUAACUAGCUUUGUUACGGAGCGAAAAGGUACUGCCCUAAUACGGACGGACCCGACUGACGGUACCGUAAGAAUAAAGACAACCGGACCUAACUAACGUA